GGAGGCUCUUGGGUUGUAAACCUCUUUUCUCAAGGAAGAACAAAAUGACGGUACUUGAGGAAUAAGCAUCGGCUAACUCCGUGCCAGCAGCCGCGGUAAUACGGAGGAUGCAAGCGUUAUCCGGAAUGAUUGGGCGUAAAGCGUCCGCAGGUGGCUUUGUAAGUCUGCUGUUAAAGAGUGAGGCUCAACCUCAUAAAAGCAGUGGAAACUACAUAGCUUGAGUACGUUCGGGGCAGAGGGAAUUCCUGGUGUAGCGGUGAAAUGCGUAGAGAUCAGGAAGAACACCGGUGGCGAAAGCGCUCUGCUAGGCCGUAACUGACACUGAGGGACGAAAGCUAGGGGAGCGAAUGGGAUUAGAUACCCCAGUAGUCCUAGCCGUAAACGAUGGAUACUAGGCGUUGUCUGUAUCGACCCGGACAGUGCCGUAGCUAACGCGUUAAGUAUCCCGCCUGGGGAGUACGCAGGCAACUGUGAAACUCAAAGGAAUUGACGGGGGCCCGCACAAGCGGUGGAGUAUGUGGUUUAAUUCGAUGCAACGCGAAGAACCUUACCAGGACUUGACAUGUCGCGAAUCUUGAUGAAAGUCAGGAGUGCCUUCGGGAGCGCGAACACAGGUGGUGCAUGGCUGUCGUCAGCUCGUGUCGUGAGAUGUUGGGUUAAGUCCCGCAACGAGCGCAACCCUCGUUUUUAGUUGCCAGCAUUAAGUUGGGCACUCUAGAGAGACUGCCGGUGACAAACCGGAGGAAGGUGGGGAUGACGUCAAGUCAGCAUGCCCCUUACGUUCUGGGCUACACACGUACUACAAUGCAACGGACAAAGGGCAGCUACACAGCGAUGUGAUGCUAAUCUCAUAAACCGUUGCUCAGUUCAGAUCGCAGGCUGCAACUCGCCUGCGUGAAGUCGGAAUCGCUAGUAAUUGCAGGUCAGCAUACUGCAGUGAAUUCGUUCCCGGGCCUUGUACACACCGCCCGUCACACCAUGGAAGCUGGCAACGCCCGAAGUCAUUACCCCAACCGCUUGCGGAGGGGGAUGCCUAAGGCAGUGCUGGUGACUGGGGUGAAGUCGUAACAAGGUAGCCGUACCGGAAGGUGUGGCUGGAUCACCUCCUUU
rnacentral:rRNA from 2 species